rnacentral:rRNA from 1 species
UGGGGAAUAUUGCACAAUGGAGGGAACUCUGAUGCAGCGACGCCGCGUGAGUGAUGAAGGAAUUCGUUUCGUAAAACUCUGUUCUAUGGGAAGAAAAGGACUGUACCAUAGGAGAAAGCUCCGGCUAAAUACGUGCCAGCAGCCGCGGUAAUACGUAUGGAGCGAGCGUUGUCCGGAAUUAUUGGGCGUAAAGGGUGCGCAGGCGGCUUUACAAGUUGGAUGUGAAAUAUUGUGGCUCAACCACAAACGUGCAUCCAAAACUGCAAAGCUUGAGUUAAGGAGAGGUAAGUGGAAUUCCUGGUGUAGCGGUGGAAUGCGUAGAUAUCAGGAGGAAUACCGGUGGCGAAGGCGACUUACUGGACUUAAACUGACGAUCAGGCACGAAAGCGUGGGGAGCAAACAGG